UACGGAGGGUGCGAGCGUUGUUCGGAAUUACUGGGCGUAAAGCGCGUGCAGGCGGCCGACUAAGUCAGGUGUGAAAGCCCGGGGCUCACCUCCGGAAGUGCGCUUGAAACUGGUUGGCUAGAGUACGGGAGAGGGAAGCGGAAUUCCUGGUGUAGCGGUGAAAUGCGUAGAUAUCAGGAGGAACACCGGCGGCGAAGGCGGCUUCCUGGACCGAUACUGACGCUGAGGAGCGAAAGCGUGGGGAGCGAACAGG
rnacentral:rRNA from 1 species